AGCACUGGGAGGGGGAGGGCUUCCCCGAACCCUUUCGAGGCUUCCACCCUCUAACACCUGGGUGCACCCGCUGGAAGUCCUUAAGGACCUAUGUCCUCUUCCAACUCCCAUGGCUACCGAACGUCCUCCGUGACCUCCGUCACAGGAAACCUAAUACAACUUUCAACAAUGGAUCUCUUGGCUCUCGCAUCCAUGAAAGACGCAACGAAUCCCGAUAAGUAAUGGGAAUUGGAAAAUUUCCGUGAAUCAUCCAAUCUUUGAACGCACCUUGGGCUCCUUGGUAUUCCCAAGAACAUGGCUGGUUGAAUGGCAUCCAAACAUCAGAACCAAACUUUCCACCUCCUCCGAACUCGGUUUGGACUUGUGGGAAUCUGCGGGCGAACCUCCCGUCCGGGGGACCUCCGCUCUCCUCAAAAGCAUUAACGUUGGGUGCGAACCUCGCGUGGCACGGCCUCUUCCACGUCCUAAUGACCGUCCUGGGCUGGAAGUGCGUGGAUCGUAAAUGCCCGUCGCUCUCCAACUCUGCGAGCCCGGUCCGUCCGGGCGCGUGGUAUCCAAACUUGACCUCCAAUCAAGUAAGACUACCCGCUGAACUUAAGCAUAUCAAAAAGCGGGAGGAAAAAUUAUCGAGAUCGAACCUCUGGGAGGGGAGGGCUUCCUCGAACCCUUUCGAGGCUUCAGCCUCUCACACAUGUGUGCACCGCUGUAUGUCUCUAUGGACCUAUGUCUCUUCUAACUCUCAUGUGUACACAACGUGUCCCGACCUCGGUCACAGGAAACUCAUACACAUUCUCACUGGAUCUCUGGGUCUCCAUCGA
rnacentral:rRNA from 1 species